rnacentral:tRNA from 1 species
GGACCCAUAGCUCAGUUGGCAGAGCCCCCGGCUCAUAACCGGAUUGUCCCAGGUUCAACCCCUGGUGGGUCCACCA